GCUCGUGAGCGACAGCGCGGC
rnacentral:miRNA from 1 species